rnacentral:rRNA from 1 species
ACGCUCGACACCUACGGGAGACAGCAGUGGGGAAUAUUGCACAAUGGGGGAAACCCUGAUGCAGCGACGCCGCGUGAAGGAAGAAGUAUUUCGGUAUGUAAACUUCUAUCAGCAGGGAAGAAAAUGACGGUACCUGACUAAGAAGCCCCGGCUAACUACGUGCCAGCAGGGGUAAUCUGAGCGGGCUGGCAAGGC